rnacentral:lncRNA from 10 species
CUCGUGAUCCGCCUGCCUCGGCCUCCCAAAGUGCUGGGAUUACCGGCAUGAGCCACCAUUUCCGGCAACAGGCAGACUUUUAACACAUUCCUUACCUAAACUUUUAAAAGGGACAAAAGAUAUAUGCCUUUGGUUUGGGAGAUGACGAAACAUAUGCUUUAAUGACUAUUGGGUUGGAAUCUUCUUGAGAGAGGAUCCUUCUUAGCCUAGACUAGAGUCUUCAAAAGCCCACAGUGCUUCGUAAAGUUUCAUACGUGGAAGAGAGAAGGAUGUUCCACUGGAAAAGCAGAAUUGCAGCUGAGCUGUCCUGAAAUGCCCAGCACUCUGUGGAGACGCGGAGGAGGUUUCCUGGGACAAAGUGCUGAACCAGGAGAGAUCUCAUCCGCUGUCCACUGGGGAAUGGCCUUGCCCUAUGGCCCCUACCAAACAAAAACGUAGCAGAACACAGCAAAACAGCAGAGUCGGAAUGUGAAGUGCUGAUAGAGUUCCCUAACGCUGACUGUCUGCUCUGCAUUUCUGGAGAUUGUAUGCCUGUCAUCCUGCAUUCCUUGGUAG